AAACGUACGCUGGCGGCACGCCUAACACAUGCAAGUCGAACGAAGUAGCAAUACUUAGUGGCAGACGGGUGAGUAACAUGUGGGUAUCUACCCUUUGGCCUGGAAUAACACGAGGAAACUUGUGCUAAUACCGGAUAAGUCUUUACGGAGAAAGCUUUAUGCACCAUUGGAUGAGCCCGCACUUGAUUAGUUUGUUGGUAGGGUAAUGGCCUACCAAGACUAUGAUCAAUAGCUGAUUUGAGAGGAUGAUCAGCCACAUUGGGACUGAGACACGGCCCAAACUCCUACGGGAGGCAGCAGUGGGGAAUCUUGCACAAUGGAGGAAACUCUGAUGCAGCGAUGCCGCGUGAGUGAAGAAGGCCUUUGGGUUGUAAAGCUCUUUCGUCGGGGAAGAAAAUGACUGUACCCGAAUAAGAAGGUCCGGCUAACUUCGUGCCAGCAGCCGCGGUAAUACGAAGGGACCUAGCGUAGUUCGGAAUUACUGGGCUUAAAGAGUUCGUAGGUGGUUGAAAAAGUUGGUGGUGAAAUCCCAGAGCUUAAUUCUGGAACUUCCAUCAAAACUUUUCAGCUAGAAUAUGAUAGAGGAAAGCAGAAUUUCUAGUGUAGAGGU
rnacentral:rRNA from 1 species